rnacentral:rRNA from 1 species
AUUGAACGCUGGCGGCAUGCAUAACACAUGCAAGUCGAACGAGUCGCGGACGGGUGAGUAAUGUCUAGGAAACUGCUCGAUGGAUGGGGAUAACUACUGGAAACGGUAGCUAAUCCCGCAUACCAUCGGCUUAUCCCAGAAGGGAUGAGCUAGUAGGUGGGGUAACGGCUCACCUAGUCGACGAGCCCUAGCGGGUCUGAGAGGAUGACCGGCCACACUGGAACUGAGACACGGUCCAGACUCCUACGGGAGGCAGCAGUGGGGAAUCUUGCGCAAUGGGCGCAAGCCUGAUGCAGCCAUGCCGCGUGUAUGAAGAAGGCCUUCGGGUUGUAAAGCACUUUCAGCGAGGAGGCGUUACUCGAAGAAGAAGCCACGGCUAACUACGUGCCAGCCGCCGCGGUAAUAC